GCCUAAAGCGUCCGUAGCCGGCUCUGUAAGUUUUCGGUUAAAUCCAUAUGCUCAACAUAUGGGCCGCCGGGAAUACUGCAUAGCUAGGGAGUGGGAGAGGUAGACGGUACUCCGUAGGAAGGGGUAAAAUCCUUUGAUCUAUGGAUGACCACCUGUGGCGAAGGCGGUCUACCAGAACACGUUCGACGGUGAGGGAUGAAAGCUGGGGGAGCAAACCGGAUUAGAUACCCGGGUAGUCCCAGCUGUAAACUAUGCAAACUCAGUGAUGCAUUGGCUUGUGGCCAGUGCAGUGCCGCAGAGAAGUCGUUAAGUUUGCCGCCUGGGAAGUACGUACGCAAGUAUGAAACUUAAAGGAAUUGGCGGGGGAGCACCACAAGGGGUGAAGCCUGCGGUUUAAUUGGAGUCAACGCCAGAAAUCUUACCCGGAGAGACAGCAGGAUGAAGGUCAAGCUGAAGACUUUACCAGACAAGCUGAGAAGUGGUGCAUGGCCGUCGCCAGCUCGUGCCGUGAGGUGUCCUGUUAGGUCAGGUAACGAGCGAGAUCCUUGCCUCUAGUUGCCACCAUUACUCUCAGGAGUAGUGGGGCGAAUUAGCGGGACUGCCGUAGUUAAUACGGAGGAAGGAGAGGGCCACGGCAGGUCAGUAUGCCCCGAA
rnacentral:rRNA from 1 species